rnacentral:misc_RNA from 1 species
AGUUCGCUUCAAUGUCUUACAAAAGAUGGGGAAACUGUUCUUCAUCUUGCUGUUAGAUUCAACAGAUAUAAUGUGAUCAAACGUUUGGCACAGGUUCCUGAUUUCUCUCAUCUUCUUCACCAGCAAGACCAGGAUGGUAACAACAAACUGCAUCUUGCAUUCUCCAGAGGAGAUCAUCAGCACGCGAAGUACAUCUUGAACUCAACAGUAGACAUUGAUUGUCGGAAUGAUAAAGGACAAAAAGCUUUGGACAUCCUUGAACUAGCCGGAAUAGAAACAAAGAACAAGCAACUCAAACAAAUGUCAAGCACCGCAAGUGAUGAUCGGACCAUGGAAUUGUCAUCUGUUUUGCCAAAGCCUGAAAAUCUCAAUUCUGAAGAAGCUCAGAAAGUUGAAAACUCUAAUUCUGAAGUUCAAACACUUGAAGACCCCAAUCCCGAAGAAGUUCAG